UCCCUCAUAGCUCAGUCGGUAAAGAAUCUGCCUGCAAUGCAGGAGACCCGGGUUUGAUUCCUGGGUCGGGAA
rnacentral:tRNA from 1 species